AGAGGAUCUGUGGCUUAGUGGUACAGCAUCUUCUUGGCAUGUAGAAGGUCCCAAGUUCAGUUCCUAGCACCUCCA
rnacentral:tRNA from 1 species